rnacentral:rRNA from 1 species
GACGUAGGGCGCGAGCGUUUGUCCGGAUUUAUUGGGCGUAAAGAGCUCGUAGGCGGCUUGUCGCGUCGACUGUGAAAUCCCGCGGCUCAACCGCGGGUCUGCAGUCGAUACGGGCAGGCUAGAGUUCGGUAGGGGAGACUGGAAUUCCUGGUGUAGCGGUGAAAUGCGCAGAUAUCAGGAGGAACACCGAUGCGAAGGCAGGUCUCUGGGCCGAUACUGACGUGAGGAGCGAAAGCGUGGGGAGCGAACAGG